AGGCGAGGAUGAUGGAGCGGUAGCGGCCGAGCCAGGAAUCGGCGACGAAGGCCCCGAGCAGCGGCAUGAGGGUGCCGGUGCCCGUCCAGGCGUUCACGGCCGCCGCCGCCGCCGCGUUCGACUGCCCCAGCGGCCCCGUCAGAUUAUAAGGGGGCGUACCGACGACGAAGAGGGCGGAGCGCCAGCCGCCGGAGGAGGCGCGGCGGACGGGGCGGCCGCGGAAGUCGGAGACGCCGGCGAGCGGCGGCGGGUCCUCGUCCUCAUCCGUGUCGCCGGCUGUGAGCUGCUGCAGGAAGGGGGUCUCGGUGUCCGCCAUGCCCUGGCCUCCGUGUGGACCGUGUCGCCGGCUAUGAGCUCGCAGAUGGAUGGUUUCUUAUCUAGAUGUCAACGCUCGGGCGGGCGCGCGCUUCAAGUUUUCUUUGACACUGACCGGCCCAAGCAUCGAUCUUCUGUAUACUGUUAUUUUAUACGGACUACUACUAGUGCUCGCUAGGGAAUUUGUGUGGACUAAAUACAUGGAGACGGUCAAGCCCAGGCAUCCAGAGAUCGUAAAUAAAGCGUUGCUGUCUGACAUAAAAAGAUGAAGACGAUUAGUGUCACAAAUUAAA